CAUAUGCAGCGAGGACCUAGAUGCGCGUUGAUGUAAUAGUAGUAAUAUUCUUGGUUGAUUGCUUGUAUAUUGUUUAGAGAGUGCAAGAAUAUGUCUAUAUUGAUGAUACAUGUUGACCAAAUCUGGUCAUUUAAUUUCAGCCGCGAUUUGAUAUAUGGCAUCUUAUAUGGUUCACCAUUUUAAUUGGCGGUGAUGGGCACCGUGCCGCAAGAAACUGUGGGAUCUGAUUAGAUCAACAAGCAAUCAGGUAAGAGAUCACUAUCUUCUCAUAGUGUCCCUGCCCGUGCCACAACAGGACUGAAUAAUAU
rnacentral:lncRNA from 1 species